CAUGCAUCAUACUUGAUUGUGCAUCAUGACAUGAUUAUGUGAUGGUUGUUUACUAUGUUGUUUGCUCCUUUCCGGUGUUGCUUCUUCGGGUUGGUUCCGAUAACGUCGCAUUGUGAGGAUCCGUUCGACUUUGUCCGUUUGUCUUCUUCAUGGACUCGUUCUUCUUCCUUGCGGGAUCUCAGGCAAGAUGACCAUACCCUCGAAAUCACUUCUAUCUUUGCUUGCUAGAUGCUCGCUCUUUUGCUAUGCCUAUGCUGUGAUACCUACCACUUGCUUAUCAUGCCUCCCAUUUUGUUAAGCCAAGCCUCUAACCCACCUUGUCCUAGCAAACCAUUGUUUGGCUAUGUUACCACUUUGCUUAGCCCCUCUUAUAGCGUUGUUAGUUGCAGGUGAAGAUUGGAGUUUGUUCCUUGUUGGAACAUGGAUAUUUUGUUGGGAUAUCACAAUAUCUCUUAUUUAAUUAAUGCAUCUAUAUACUUGGUAAAGGGUCGAAGGCUCGGCCUUAUGCCUGGUGUUUUGUUCCACUCUUGCCGCCCUAGUUUCCGUCAUAUCGGUGUUAUGUUCCCGGAUUUUGCGUUCCUUACACGGUUGGGUUACAAUGGGAACCCCUUGACAGUUCGCCUUGAAUAAAACUCCUCCAGCAAUGCCCAACAUUGGUUUUACCAUUCGCCACCUAGCCUCUUUUCCAUUGGGAGUCAUGCUCCCGAGGGUCAUCAUUAUUUUAACCCCCCCAUGCUAGUGCUCCUCUAAGUGUUGGUCCAAACUAGAGCCCUGUGCAGCGCCCCCUCGGGGAAACUCGAGGUUUGGUUUUAGUUGUAUGGAGUGCUCAUCUGAGUGUGCCCUGAGAACGAGAUAUGUGAAGCUCCUAUCGGGAUUUUUCGGCACAUUCGGGCGGUGUUGCUGGACUUGUUUUACCAUUGUCGAGGAUGUCAUGUAACCGAGAUGCCGAGUCUGAUCGGAUUGUCUUGGGAGAAGGAAUAUCCUUCGUUGACCGUGAGAGCUUGUGAUGGGCUAAGUUGGGACACUCCUGCAGGGAUUUGAACUUUCGAAAGUCGUGCCCGCGGUUAUGGGCAGAUGGGAAUUUGUUAAUGUCCAUUUGUAGAAAACCUGAAACUUAACUUAAUUAAAAUGCAUCUACCGCGUGUGUAAGCGUGAUGGUCUCUUUCCGGCGGAGUCCGGGAAGUGAACACGGUGUUGGAGGUAUGCUUGAUGUAGGUUGUUCUGGGAUCACUUCUUGAUCAUAGUUGUUCGACCGUGCCUUUGCCUUCUCUUCUCGUUGUCAUUUGCGUAUGUUAGCCACCAUAUAUGCUAGUCGCUUGUUGCAGAUCCACCUCAUACAUUUUACCUUACCUAUAAGCUUAAAUAGUCUUGAUCGCGAGGGUGUGAGAUUGCUGAGUCCCCGUAACUCACAGAUACUUCCAAAACCAGUUUGCAGGUGUCGAUGUACCGAGCAGGUGAUGCAACCAAGCUCAAGGACGAGAUCAAUGAAGAUCUUGUCCUUUGUGUUGUUUCGUUCUAGUUGAUCAGUAGUGGAGCCCAGUUGGGGUCGAUCGGGGAUCUGUGUAGCAUUUGGGGUAGUCUUCUUUUAUUUUGGUUCCGUAGUCGGACCUUGAGUGUAUUUGGAUGAAUGUAAUGCUUUAUUCAUGUAUUGUGUGAAGUGGCGAUUGUAAGCCAACUAUGUAUCUAUUUUCCCCUUAAUGUAUUACAUGGGUUGUUGUGAAGAUUACCUCACUUGCGACAUUGCUUUCAAUGCGGUUAUGCCUCUAAGUCGUGCUUCGACACGUGGGAGAUAUAGCCGCAUCGAGGGCGUUACACAUGUGAUGUUUAUCUUUUA
rnacentral:lncRNA from 1 species